CAGAUUUUAGAGGAAAUAAAAGACAUAGGAUCAUUCAAGGUGCACCCACGCACUUGGGGGUUAACUGCCACAACAUUUAAUAGUGUACCUCAGAAGCAGUUGCCAAGUAUGGACUCACAUAAGGUGGACAUACACUGACCUGAGAAAUUUCUCACUACUAAUGAAAAGAAGCCAGGAAGUUAUAAUACAUUGCUGUAGGCAGCCUCUAGUGUUUUCCUAAUUUUGUAAAUUCAGAAUUUAAUUUUCUUGUUUUGCUUAGGGUUUAAUUUUUAUCAAGUGGAAUUUUUUAGGUACACAUAUCACUUUAUCUUGUGGUGAGCACUUAUCAGUUGUAAGCUGAACAGAUAAUGUUCAUAGCCUUAGGAUGUAAAAUAGGCAACAUAUAUAAUUUAUACAGCACUAACAGAAGGCUUUUCAGGCAAAUAACAAACAAAAAGGAAAAUGAAGAAAUGUUGACGAUGAGAUUUUCAGUAUUGGAAACUUAAAAUUCUGUCUUGCUCUUGACUCCUGGUCAUUCAUUUCUUUAAGCAUUGCAUGUGUGUGCAUGCCUGCUACAAGCCAGGCACUGAGCUAGGCACCUGAGAUAUAGCAGCAAAUGAAGCAGAGGAUGGUCCCUGCCUUCAUGGAGCUUACAUCCUAUUGAAGGUUGGCUAUCAUCACAUUAUGUUUAAUGAGUCAAGAGUGGUGCCAAGAAGGAAGAUGAAUCUGGUGCUUACCAUCACUUAGGUCCUUUUUCAAGAUUGUCUUCUUAAGGCCACUGAUUCCUUCUUAGCUAGGAAGGAAUAAAUGCGUUUAAGUAGGUAGCUGCCACCAGGAGACAAGGAAAACACAGGUAAUUCUGUUUCUUAAAAUAGUUAGGAUUUCCUGAGGCACGGAAAGCUCAAGUUAAAAUGCAUUAUAUGUGUUUUCCAUGAAAAAAUGCUCAUCAUCACUGGCCAUCAGAGAAAUGCAAAUCAAAACCGCAAUGAGAUACCAUUUCACACCAGUUAGAAUGGCAAUCAUCAAAAAGUCAGGAAACAACAGGUGCUGGAGAGGAUGUGGAGAAAUAGGAACACUUUUACACUGUUGGUGGGACCAUAAACUAGUUCAACCAUUGUGGAAGACAGUGCGGCGAUUCCUCAAUGAUCUAGAACUAGAAAUACCAUUUGACCCAGCCAUCCCAUUACUGGGUAUAUACCCAAAGGAUUAUAAAUCAUGCUGCUACAAAGACACACGCACACGUAUGUUUAUUGUGGCACUAUUCACAAUAGCAAAGACUUGGAACCAACCCAAAUGUCCAUCAAUGAUAGACUGGAUUAAGAAAAUGUGGCACAUAUACACCAUGGAAUACUAUGCAGCCAUAAAAAAGGAUGAGUUCAUGUCCUUUGUAGGGACAUGGAUGAAGCUGGAAACCAUCACUCUGAGCAAACUAUUGCAAGGACAGAAAACCAAACACCGCAUACGUGGAAAUUGAACAAUGAGAACACUUGGACAUAGGAUGGGGAGCAUCACACACGGGGGCCUGUCGUGGGAUGGGAGGAGGGGGGAGGGAUAGCAUUAGGAGAUAUACCUAAUGUAAAUGACGAGUUAAUGGGUGCAGCACAGCAACAUGGCACAUGUAUACAUACGUAACAAACCUGCACAUUGUGCACAUGUACCCUAAAACUUAAAGUAUAAUAAAAAAUGCAUUAUAUGUGUUUUUUAUUAAAAAUAUAACCACUUAAUAAAACCAUCAUUCAAGCCAAUUGCUGACCUCUAAUAUAAAAUUGAAAUCAAGUUCAGACUACAUAAAAACUUCUAUGUACCUAUGUACAGUCAGACGCUUUUCGACAAAUAUUCGACUAUUAUCAUUUGAUUCUUAAUAUAACCCUGGUUUUCUGCCUAACUGGCAUAAAGAAAUCUAGUUGCUCUGAACUCUUUAUUUAACUGAAAAGCAGUACAAAACACAUCCCAGACAGGAGCACUGACUUCCCUCUUGAGCAAUUUGUCACGGAAUUGCUUACCACUGCUGGAGGUGCCCCUGCUGAGACUCUGAGCCACUUCUCAGAUUUCCCAGCAGAAAAGACAAAGUUGUCUCCUGAAGGUUUUCUCAUCAUAUCCUUAGACAAAAAUUCUAGUCUUACCCAGGAUAAAUAAUCUCAAUUGUAGAAUCUUCUGUGAGGUCCUUUUGAUUUGUGAUUUGGGUCUUCUGGGUCUCAUUUUCUUUUUCUUCCACUACAUUGCACAGAUGUUUUCUAAUUAAUUUCUUACAGUCCAAGUCAUUAUUUUACUCAAGAUACUGGUUUGUCAUUUCUCUAGAAUCACCAAGACACUUUGUUAGCACACCAAAUCAGUGGAAAAACCCUGAGCUGAGAUGGUCACAUGUAACUGAUAGCAAUGGUGUUAUGCUUGCUGUUUGAGCCAAUGAGAUAUUUUCAUGCCUUAUGUCUGUUUCCCAGCCCCAACCCCUCUGCCAGGAGAAGCUAUAUGCUGCUCACCUGUCAAGUCCUCAUAAGUAGAAAUCACGAACUCAAGGGCUAUUAACUGAAGAUGCUCUGUUUUCUGGAGUAGGAAUGUAUACACAUACACAAAUGUGUGUGUAGUCCUGCCUCCAGAAUAGCUAGGACUACAAGUGCAUGCCACCGUGCCCAGCUAUUUUUUAUUUUUUGUAGAGACACGGUCUUACUACGUUGCCUUGGCUGGGCUCCAACUCCUGCCUCAAGUAAUCCUCCUACCUUGGCCUCCCAUCUCUCAAGUCCCCAUAAGUAGAAAUUGUGAACUCAAUGGCUAUUAAAUAAAGACAUUGUGUUUUCUGGGGUAGGGAUCUAUACAUACACACAUAAAUGUGGGAAAGUUGGGGGAGCCCCUGAUAGCU
rnacentral:lncRNA from 1 species